CCGACCUCCCAGCUUGAUGUUCCUCUCUGCCACACUGGCCCUGGUGAGCUGGAGGGGAUGGACACGCUGCGAAGGAGCCUUUCUCGCUGGAAGAGGUACCACAUUAAGGUGCACCUGGCUGACGAGGACAUGAUGAUGUCUCUGACCGUCAAGCCCAGAGACACGGUGAUGGACCUACGGGCUCACUUAGUACGGGAGGGUGUCACUUCCUGGAAGAAGACGUUCUAUUACAACUCCAGGCAGCUUGAGGAGCACGAGACUCUGAAAGAAGCCAAUAUCCAGAACGGCUCUGUCCUGCUUCUUGUCAGCAAUAAAAGAUAAUGCCAAAGAGCACAGCCAAAGCCAUGAGAGACGGGGAGUGCGACAAGGGCUGAAGGGAAGCAGACGAAGAGAGCUUGGCCGUGGAAAGGCAGCCUGGCCACCAGUGUUUGGUAAGUCCCUCCCUGCACGCCAGCUCCAGGACUGUUCAGAAAGCAGCUCUCAGUGUUUUCAGCACAGUGCCCAUGAAUAAUUAACCCAAACAAAACAACAAAUAACGUUUCCUCAUCAGCGCACCAUGUGGUCUCAGCUACCAAAGGAGAAGCGUGGGUAAGACUGACUCAGCUCCUGAGGGCAGUGAAUCAGAGUGAAAUACCCACGAAAGGGCGACUUCUGCCUGGGUGAUGAAGCGAGGAGGAGCUGAGGUGGACUUUGCUUAGGGCCCUAGAUGGGGACACUGGACAUCUGAGACUCCUUCCGAC